rnacentral:rRNA from 1 species
CCUACGGGGUGCAGCAGUGGGGAAUAUUGCACAAUGGGGGAAACCCUGAUGCAGCGAAGCCGCGUGAGUGAAGAAGUAAUUCGUUACGUAAAGCUCUAUCAGCAGGGAAGAAAUACUGACCUUACGGUCAGCAGACGGUACCUGAGUAAGAAGACCCGGCUAACUACGUGCCAGCAGCCGCGGUAAUACGUAGGGGGCAAGCGUUAUCUGGAUUUACUGGGGGUAAAGGGAGCGUAGACGGUGCGCCAAGUCUGGUGGGAAAUGCCGCAGCUUAACUGCGGAACUGCUGUGGAAACUGGCGGACUAGAGUGCGGGAGAGGUAAGCGGAAUGCCUAGUGUAGCGGUGAAAUGCGUAGAUA